AAUUGUAGGCAUUUCGUGUGUGGAUCUCGUCAGCAUAUCGUCGCAAACAGGUAGUUAGAUAUGUUUGAUCGUUCCAGCAGCAUUUGAAGAACCGAAGUUUAGCUCAAACAAUGUUGGUGAAGAGUUUACUCUAUAGUUGAUGUAAAUGGCAUGUACCUAGGCUUAUAAAUAUAUAUAUUAUGUCGUAAACUGAAUUUAAAUAUUUUCAUUAUGUUUUCUUAGCUAGUAUUUUAUAACUAAUGUUUUCAUAAAAUAGUAAAGCAUAGAAAUCUAGUUUAUUAAUAUGUUUUGAGAAAUCGUAGUGCUGGAAAUUGGUUUGAGAGAUAAUUUGAAUGUGAAUAUUUUGUGAAAAUCUAAAUUUUGCAGGGGGUUUUAUAGAAAAUAGGCAGAAAUGCUGCCAAAAUUUUUAUAAAAUAA